UACGAAGGGGGCUAGCGUUGUUCGGAAUCACUGGGCGUAAAGCGCACGUAGGCGGAUGUGCCAGUCAGGGGUGAAAUCCCGGAGCUCAACUUCGGAACUGCCUCUGAUACAGCACGUCUUGAGUCCGGAAGAGGUGGGUGGAAUUCCUAGUGUAGAGGUGAAAUUCGUAGAUAUUAGGAAAGAACACCGUGGGCGAAGGCGGCCCACUGGUCCGGUACUGACGCUGAGGUGCGAAAGCGUGGGGAGCAAACAGGAUUGAGAUACCGGGUAGUC
rnacentral:rRNA from 1 species